rnacentral:rRNA from 1 species
AGGGAAUAUUGCGCAAUGGACGGAAGUCUGACGCAGCGACGCCGCGUGAGCGAUGAAGGUCUUCGGAUCGUAAAGCUCUGUCCUUGGGGAAGAAGGCGAAAGCUUGACGGUACCCAAGAAGAAAGCCCCGGCUAACUACGUGCCAGCAGCCGCGGUAAUACGUAGGGGGCGAGCGUUGUCCGGAAUUACUGGGCGUAAAGGGUGCGUAGGCGGCCCUUUAAGUCGGAUGUGAAAGCCCGCGGCUUAACCGCGGAAUGGCAUUCGAAACUGGAGGGCUUGAGUGGCGGAGAGGGUAGUGGAAUUCCCAGUGUAGCGGUGAAAUGCGUAGAUAUUGGGAGGAACACCAGUGGCGAAGGCGACUACCUGGACGAUAACUGACGCUGAGGCACGAAAGCUAGGGGAGCAAAC